rnacentral:rRNA from 1 species
CAUUACCGAAUUGUCAAACGGGUUGUUGCUGGUCUUCAAACGGGGACAUGUGCACGCUCUGUUUACACAUCCACUCACACCUGUGCACCCUCCGUAGUUCUAUGGUCUGGGGGACCCUGUCUUCCCGCCGUGGUUCUACGUCUUUACACACACUCUGUAAUAAAGUCUUAUGGAAUGUAUGCCGCGUCUAACGCAAUACAAUACAACUUUCAGCAACGGAUCUCUUGGCUCUCGCAUCGAUGAAGAACGCAGCGAAAUGCGAUAAGUAAUGUGAAUUGCAGAAUUCAGUGAAUCAUCGAAUCUUUGAACGCACCUUGCGCCCCUUGGCUAUUCCGAGGGGCAUGCCUGUUUGAGUAUCAUGAACACCUCAACUCUCAUGGUUCGCCAUGAUGAGCUUGGACUCUGGGGGUUUUGCUGGCCUGCGGUCGGCUCCCCUCAAAUGAAUCAGCCUCCCAGUGUUUGGUGGCAUCACGGGUGUGAUAGAUAUCUACGCUCGCGGUUGUCCGCCAGGUAACCUUUGGUGACAAAGGUUNGCUGGAGCUCACAGAUGUCUCUCCUCGGCGAGGACAGCUUUUUUGAACGUUCGAUCUCMAAUCAGGUAGGACUACCCGCUGAACUUAAGCAUAUCAAUA